CCUACGGGAGGCAGCAGUGGGGAAUAUUGGACAAUGGGCGAAAGCCUGAUCCAGCAAUGCCGCGUGAGUGAUGAAGGCCUUAGGGUUGUAAAGCUCUUUUACCCGGGAUGAUAAUGACAGUACCGGGAGAAUAAGCUCCGGCUAACUCCGUGCCAGCAGCCGCGGUAAUACGGAGGGAGCUAGCGUUGUUCGGAAUUACUGGGCGUAAAGCGCACGUAGGCGGCUUUGUAAGUUAGAGGUGAAAGCCUGGAGCUCAACUCCAGAAUUGCCUUUAAGACUGCAUCGCUUGAAUCCAGGAGAGGUGAGUGGAAUUCCGAGUGUAGAGGUGAAAUUCGUAGAUAUUCGGAAGAACACCAGUGGCGAAGGCGGCUCACUGGACUGGUAUUGACGCUGAGGUGCGAAAGCGUGGGGAGCAAACAGGAUUAGAUACCUGGUAGUCCACGCCGUAAACGAUGAUAACUAGCUGUCAGGGCUCUUAGAGCUUUGGUGGCGCAGCUAACGCAUUAAGUUAUCCGCCUGGGGAGUACGGUCGCAAGAUUAAAACUUAAAUGAAAUUGACGG
rnacentral:rRNA from 1 species